rnacentral:tRNA from 1 species
GGGAUUGUGGCUCAGUGAUAGAGCACUUGCCUAGCAAGUGCAAGGCCCUGGGUUCGAUCCUCAGCACCA